rnacentral:lncRNA from 1 species
AUGCUGGAAAAGCCACGUGCAAUAUCUAGAACACGCAGCCCUAGUGGAGAUGCAGCCGCACCCCAGAUCUCAGAGCCCAAGCCCUGGGGUCCCGCCGCUGCUCUCGCCACACGGGAGCCCGCGUCUCUAACGGCACCACUGGGGGGCUCCUGGGGGACCGUCGCGCAGGCCGGGUCAGGAGCAACCACUUACCGCAGUCACCGUCCACCCGGAGCGACCAGGCUAAGCAGCCCCCCCAGGCCGCGGGGGAGGACGACCGAGCGCACAGCCCCGGCGUACCUGCAGAGAGCAGCCCGCAGGCGCGCUGGGGGACGCGAUCCGUCACAAUGGCAGCAGCGGCGGCAAACCAAUGACAAGCCGGGCCUCCGCGAGCAGGCGCCGCGGCCCCCGGGAUGCUCCAGGGUUCGCAAGGGCAGCGGGCGGCUCUCCGCACGGGACCUCCUCUCCCGCCGCACGCCCGCCCAGCGUCCCCUCAGGCUAACACCGCAGCCCCGGGCCGUCCCCCACACGCCCCAGUCCCCGCACGCACGCACACGCCGGGGACGGCCCGUCCCACACACGCCCCGCCCCGCCCCCUCACGUGCGCCCGCGCCACGGCCCCAGUGCUUCCCCCACGCACGCCCCGCCCCCGCCCCCGCCCCCGCCCCUCGUGAGCGCACGCGCGCACGCGCUAAGGCUCUGGUUUGUCCUAUAUACUGGCGCUCCUUUCCGGCCCCCGCCUCCGUCCACGCGCGCACGAGCCGCCGCCCCUCCUGCAGAGAGCGCAGCGGCGGCGCCAGCCCAGAAUCCCUCCGGGGAGCGUCCCUGAGCGGCGCGGGGCAUCCUGGGAAAUGUGGUCUCUGUGACUGGGCUUUUUGGGGCCUCCGAGCAGGGGAAUUGCGGUUGCUCUUUCCUCCUAGGGCGUGGAGAGACAGGACUCAGACGGGAGUGGGGAGCGUUCCUCCUGGUGCCCAGCCCCCCCAUCCCCUCGCCGCUCUGCAGACAGGCAGGACGGAAGUGCGGGGAAGAAGCGGAGGCGUUCCGGGGGGCGUCCUGCGGGACCGCGAGGAGCCAUCCCAGCACCCGAGCUCCAUUCUCUAG